UGUGCUUUGCAGCCUUCCCCUCCCCUCCCCCCAGCACUCACCUGGAGGAGACGCUGAGGGGGCUUCCUGUCCACUGGGAGACAGGAAUCUCUGCAGUGUGGACCUCACUCACCUGAGCAGCUGCUGGGGCUUCAGUCGGGCUGCUUCUGCAUGUCUAGGAUUAUGCUGGCAAUACUGGAAUAAAAGAGCUGUUCCCUGGUCUUUUGACUGAAAGUGUAUAGAGAAAAGAGCAACAAUGGGUAGUUACGUCAUCUGCAGAGAACAUUCUCAAGGGCACUUGCGGUAACUUCUCUAGGAGAGAGAUGUGGCCAGCAUUAUCCUUGGGAAGUGUUAUGAGCUUCAAAAAACUAUUUUAAUCAAUGUGCCAGACAAGAAGGAACUUUUGGGACAAAGUUAAGGAAAAACCUGGGGGGAGGUGAAUGCAAAUUCCCACCUCUUGAAGCUAUGCUCUGAACAGAAAACCAUUGUCUGCUGAUUACCUGUUCUUCAACAUGAAAACCAGAAGCCAAAGCUGUAUAAAGAAGAGACUGACUUAUUCAUGUGUGUUCGUGUUCUAAGCAAAAGCUGUUACGAACUGGUAACCACAGAAGAACGCUGUGAGAGGGCUGAAGGACUCUUCACCUACCAAGGCUCUUGUUGGAGUUGCGGGUGAUCUCUGCUUGCCCACAGAAACUGGGACAAUACUACUGGAUCCUGAUACAAAACAAUGUCCAUUAGAUUCACAACAACCCAUCCAUCAAUAAUCACCAAUUUUUUCAUGGACACAAUGGAAAUUUGCCAGGGAAACCAUCAGGAAAUACAAGAUGGGGGCAGAUGCAUCUUGUCCUGAGAGCAGAUCUUUCGAUGUUGGACCUUCCUAUCACAAACAUGAUAUAGCUGAAACUAGAGGAGGCUCAGAGACAAGCAACAAGAAAUAUUAGUGACAUGGAUAAACUUCCAUAUUAAGAGUUGCCUGUGAUGGGGUAUUCAAACCCCAUACUGGACAGCAAGGGGUUAAAGAACUACUCUGGGUCCAGCCAACCCAUCCUGCCACACUCAUAGCAAAUGCACCAACUGAAGGAGGGGCAGGGGAGCAGCUCAUUUGGUGGCAGAGAAGAGAAGAGAGCAGACCAGCAGCUUCAGAAGAGAAGAGCUGAGAGAAAGCAGAAUCUCCCCCUAAUCAACUGCCCAAAGGUUCCUCCCUGAGGGAAGGGAGGGCAUGCUGCAGAGACAGUCUGAUGGGAUGCAUUCUCAUCUCUCUCUCAUACAAAUUCUGGACUUGGUUAAUCCCCUUUAUUUUUGUUUGGACUCUCCCAGCGGGAGGAAAGCCCUAGGACUGAGCUGGCCCAGGAGGGCGGGCCAUACUGCAGGAGGAGGCAGUUGCUGCUGGAGAGAGAAAAGAGAGUGACCUCGCUACACGUGCAGAUGCCAGAAGAUGCUUUUUGAGAAUGUAAGAACUUAGAGUCUGAAUUGUUUCGUCCAUGCCAUCAGAUUCCAUUUCAGUUUGCUUCUCAAGGGCAAAAAGAAAACCAAGACAAAGGAACAACAAAAUGAAAUACAGAGAAAUCAAAAUGAAGUAUGAAAACAAAAUACAACACAAACAAAAAGGAAAAAAAUAAUAAACUAAACCAAAAUGAGAUACAAGUACAAAGAACAUAUAGUGCACAAGAUAUGAACUGAAAGGAAAGAGAAAUCACUGACCUCGGAAAACUGAAAAUACGAUAUAGAUUAAUAGUUUGUCUGAAGGCUCUGAGAACAGGGUCUGUUCACUGAGUUUUAUGUGAGAAAGGGUCAGACACACAGUACAGUGCAUUGCUUUGAGCCUAUCCAAGAGAGAGAGAAGAAAAAUCCACAUAGCUAAGCUUCUUUGAAAAAUGGUUCUUGUAUCUACAAACAAAAAUCAAAUAUUCUAGAUGUUGAAGAUGGAGCAACAAAUUGUAUUUUCUUUGCUAAGAAUAUGAAAGAUGAGGAAAUGGAGAAGCAAAGAGGCCAAUAGAAGCAAAGAGGACAAUAAGUCAAUGACAGAUCUUGACUUGCACCAAAACAAUGGUUUUUGACUCCCAGUAUGGUGCUCUCUCAACUGGACUAUAUCUGACUCGCUUUAGGUUGCUUCUUACAUUAAAUUGCUUACAUGAUAUUUUUUAUUAUUAAAAUGCCUACUGAAGUUAUAGUGCUUUCCAGCUCAACUGAAAGCCCAUUGUGUCAGGAGAAAAUCCAUUGUAAAUAGGAUUGUUGUAUGACAACCAGUAUAUUAAUUCCACUCAAAAAUGAAUACUGCCAGCAUGUCUGUUUCAGCAGAGAUUUAUGUAGUUACAAAAAUGUUCCAAAAAUUAGCUAGUGUGCAUGUCAAGUAGCUAAUUUUAAAACACUGUGACUUAAUUAUUUUUAGAAUUGUUUUGGGGUCAAAAUAUUGGGCAAAUAUUCAAUGCAGCUUGUGUAGUGGGGUGAAGUUAAAGCCUCGUUUGUACUUCUCUGAUCCUUAGGAACAACUGAGAGCAGCCUCAAAACUUGUAGGAUGUGUUUUUAGAAGGGUUAGAGAUGGAAAGAUUUUAAUUAUCUAUGCCUUUAUAUCAGAUUAAAUUUUUGCAUCAGAACUAACAUCUUUCAAAUCAAAUUGUAGUUUGACCUACUUUGAAAUUUACAACUAUUAAACCAUGAACAUCAAUGGAUAAAUUAAUUAUAAUUAUUCACUUUAAACUUUUAAACUUAUUUCUUCAUUAUUCUAUUCUAUUGUAUUCUAUAUAGGUGCUUAUAUUGCACUCAUUACUAUAGUGUCUUCCAGUAAUGUGUUCAGCAACAUGACAACACAUCUGCCAUGUGGUGUUUGUUCUCUCAUUUGUUCCAUGAGUAAGAAUAACUGACGAUAACAAAACUUUAGUAACCAGAGUCUUUGCUAGCUUAACUCCAUAGACUUCAAGUAAAAAUUCUUCCCUGCCCUUGUAAAAGACAUUGGUUUUAUCCAAUAAACAUGGAUCAAAACUC